AAAAUGAUCAGGCUGGCUUUUACAGCCCUGGCCCCCACCUGGUGGAAUUAGCUCCCAAAGGAGAUCAGGGCCCUGUGGGACUUGCAGAGCUUUUGCUGGGCCUGCAAGACGGACGUGUUCUGACAGGCAUUUUGCCAGCCUGGUUAAGUACAUCUACUAUUCCAUCUGGCCUCCCGUGGGCACAAGGGUGGGGUGGGGAGGGGAGAGAAAUACGCCA